rnacentral:rRNA from 1 species
AUGUCGACCAUGGGGAUUGUGUGUUGUGCAGUGCUUCGGAUCUGCUCGGAUUCGGAGGUGUGGUAUUUCGGAGUCCCGAAUGAGACCGGUUUGCACGUAUCUCUUCGUCGUCGGGGACAGUGGAAGUCGGGGCGACGGCUCCGGAUGGUUUCAGAUUGUACGUCGAGAUGGCGAUCUCGGGAACAAUGGGUGUCGGCUCGGUCGAUGCGCCCCAGAGGGGGUGGUCUGACUUUACGUCGGGGCGGCGGCCCCGGAUGUGGUGCGACGUUCAUGAUCUGCGAGCAGUUGUGCUGA